AACGAACGCUGGCGGCAGGCCUAACACAUGCAAGUCGAGCGCUCCGCAAGGGGAGCGGCAGUCGGGUGAGAAACGCGUGGGAACGUACCUUUUGGUUCGGAAAAACUCCGGGAAACUGGAGCUAAUACCGGAAAAGCCUUAACGGGGAAAGAUUAAUCGCCGAAAGAUCGGCCCGCGUCUGAUUAGCUAGUUGGCGAGGUAACGGCUCACCAAGGCGACGAUCAGUAGCUGGUCUGAGAGGAUGAUCCGCCACACUGGGACUGGGACACGGCCCAGACUCCUACGGGAGGCAGCAGUGGGUAAUGUUGGACAAUGGGCGCAAGCCUGAUCCAGCCAUGCCGCGUGAGUGAUGAAGGCCUUAGGGUUGUAAAGCUCUUUUGUCCGGGAAGAUAAUGACUGUACCGGAAGAAUAAGCCCCGGCUAACUUCGUG
rnacentral:rRNA from 1 species